UCAUAACGUAAGACGGUAUGUACAUUUUGACUGACAAAGAAUUAUAAACCUUAUUUACUCAAAUAUUUCGUGUCCGUUUUGAAUAAUCAGGUUUCCUGUUUGUUUACAAAUAAUUUUAGUUGGCAGUUUACCUCAUUGAUAAUAUAAUAGUAUAACGUAUUAAAAUACAAUAAUAAUAAUGUGAGUCAUACAGUUUAAAAUUCGGCCUUUUAAUCCAAUAAAAUGGGAGACGUUUAAAAGUUUAAAAGUUUCAGAUUUGUAUAACUCGUGUGAAUGUAGAGGAAUGGAAAAGGAGAAGUUAGACUCACGAAAAGCGAUGAAUUUGUGUGGCGCCAUUGAAGAAGUUAUUUCAAGGAUAGAUUCCACAAUUUUUAAUAUUAAAAAAAAAACAUUUCAGUACACUUCACUCCAUUUACAACUGCUACAUACAUUCUUAUCAUACCACUAGUUCACUGAAUUUUUCGUCGGAUCUUCUCAGUGAGUCGCGAUUCCGAUCCGGUGGUAGAUUCUGCGAAGCACUGCUCUUGCUAGGGCUAGUGUUAGCAAACUCUGGUUGAGUCCGUGAGCUCACCUACCCGUCCGGGCGUAGUUGGAAUAGCCUCUUAGGUUACCAGCGAAUGGGUAAAGAAAAAAAUCACACCACUUGCUACGCUAGCAAUAUAUCGAUUGGUUUUUAAUUAUCCGCUUACAGCUAGACACUAUUUGACCUUGUCCCUCAUAAAAGAUACUUCGUACUUAACACUUUAUACUUGUAAUAAAAUCCACAAGAAUUCAAACCAUUAUCAUGUCUGUAUCAGCAGCAAAGCCAUGCUUAAGGCGGAAGGAAUAAUAUAUUUUAAAAUUCAAUGCGGCUAUUUCCUAGCACCAGAUGGGGAUCUGUACGUCUAUAAAACUAAAUUAAAAGCCACAUUAUAACACAAAAAUAGGCUCCAAAAAAAAAAAAUAUAUAUAUAUAUAUUGAAAAAUUUAAAUCCAAGUGACUCAUAACUUGACUUUUAGCAGCGCUUCAUUCAAAGAUCGUUAGUCUGAUUCGCAAUAGUAUUUUUCUAUGUAUUACGGCUGUAUGUGUACAAUGGUUCACACAACGUGGCAUCACAUUCGCAUUAGUGAAUUUACUGUCUAGCUGGGAAACGGUCGACGGUGCGGCCAAAAUUCACACGACCACGCAUUCGCUUUGUUUUAUAAAACACAUUUGGGAAUGUCGCAAUUGUGAUACGUGAAUCUAGAAGUUGGUCUAGCAAACAACUAAUGAAUGAAUUAGAAUGAAUUGAAUUAGAAUACUCGCAUGGCUCGUAAUAAAAAAGAGUAUUAUGAUAUAAUAUGAUAUGAUAUGGCAUGAUAUGAUAUGAUAUGAUGUGAUAUGAUAUGCAGAUAUGCAAAUAUGCACUACCAGAAGUAGAAGAACGACUAGUACCUACUAGACUACUGCUAGAUAAUUAAAUGUGCACAAAAAAUCCUCGAUUGCGAAGUUUUAAAUGUUAGUAAGUGGUUUCCGGAGCCCAUCGAUAUUAUCACAUCGCAAAAACCCAACCUGAGACAUGAGGUCGAUGUCUCAUUAGUGUCACUGUAUAACGGCAGUCACGUCUUUCAAACCGACGCGGAUGACUGCUUUUUGGUGGAAAUAGACUGGAUGGUUAUAUGUAGCCAUUUUGGCUUACUCUCUUAAGUCUUUAACAGAAUUUCUCAAUUCUCUCAAUUUUAAUAUUAAGGCCACACUAUAUAGAUCAUUUAAUUAAAAAAAAAAAUACGCCUACAGUUUUUUUAUGAACAGCGUUUGUAUGUAAUUUAAAUAUUAAAUGAGCGAAACGUUGGUCAUUUAAAAAGCAUUUUGAAAUUAAUAUGCAUCUGCCAUGAGAACGACUUCUCACGUAGGCAUAUGAAUGCAAACGGAACAGUUCGUCCAUGAUUUUGAAAGCUAUUCGCAUAACACUAAUGAAUUACCACCGUGUCACACAGAUUAUGCGGCUUUUGCACUCGGAUAAGACAAAAGACCGAUCUAACACAUAAGUAGUUCGUAUCAAAUACUUUCAACGUUUUUAUAAUUAUACUAGCUGUACCCGUCUGCUUCGUUGGGCAUUUAAAAUUAAUAUUAUUAUUUCUCAGCCCCACAAAGAUUCUCAUCAUUAACGCCCCCGCAACUGGUAUAGGGAGUCCAACACUCAUACAAAUAUUAGCCUAUCCAUUAAGCACAUGUAUUUUCUACAUGGAUACCGAGUUUUAAGUCAAUCGGAUGCACGGUUCAGAAGUUAUAACGGAACAUCCGUAAAAACCACUGUAGAUUUAUAUAUUUGUAUAGAUUUCCCUUUACUUAGGGUCGACCAAUCUCGUUCGUAAUAGCCAGUGUGCUCUUAUCCGUGGGGUGAUUGCGUGUUUGACUCUGCCUAGUCUCUACUUUAGUUGGCUUAAGAAAGUACCUUCUCCACUGCAUGACUGCGGGCAUCCUCACCCUUGUUCUUGUACUAUUGAAUUCUGCGAGGACCUUUUGGCGGGAACGCGAGGAGUGAAGUUGUGUGAUUUGUUUUAUUUUGUCUAUUUAGUGUUUCUUCAGGAUUAAAUGUGUAAUAACGGUGGUUUAUUAGCUGUUUAGUAUCUGUGAAAGUGCACAAAUGUGGGAAAAUGAAACAAAGCCGCUGAACGUAACUUCUUGGGAUCCAAAAAGUUCACUGAAAAAGUCUCAGUAAAUGACCACCAUUUUACUGAGAUUAUCUUUCAUCCCAUAUCAUCUCAUUUCAUUCAAUUUCAUUUCGUUUUCAUUUCAUGCCAUGUUUCAUAUUAAUCAACUUCAUUUCAUUUCAUAAUAUCAUUUAAAAAAAGUUUUUACUAAAAUUAAAAUAAGACUUGACUUAAAGGUCUUAGUUACCAGGUUAUAAAAUCCCUUAAAAAAAUGAAUUCUGCGAUAGUUCUAACCUUGUGACCAAAUUGUUUUGACAACGCGUUCUUCAUCUAAGAAAGGAAAUUUAAUGUAAUCUUUGGCACGUUUCGCGUGUCGUUCUCUGUGCUUAGUGUCGUAUUGACCACCUCGAUCGCGAGGAACUGUCAGAAUUUGAAAUCUGUCAACGGUGUUUCUAGAACGUUAUGGAUAUGCCCUUCCUAAACAUGGUUUGAAACGGACGUUUACCGAAUUAGACGCGACUUGCGGUAACUUCAGGGGGGUGCAACUCCCAUACAAAGGAAAAUAACAUACAACUAGCGUCAUCUUACUCCUGUGGCGACGUCAUUUUUGUAACGUUUAGGCAUUAAUGAUCUAAUAAACUCACUAGAUGGCAGAUAUGAGUUCUGACUCAAUAAAAAAUGCUAUCGUUGGUAGAAGUUGGAAUUAUUUCAGAAACAAAAAAAAUAUAUGUUAGAAACAUAAACCGUACUUAUCAAUAUUUUUUAUUUUUAACAAAAAUCCAACAUGUCUUAUGUUACAUUAAAUGAUAUUUCUGUUAGGAAAAUAAACAGUAUCAUGGAAAUAAACUGCUUCUAAAACCAAAUUUUAGAAAUAUUUUACUUUGGAUUGGCGACUUUGUAGUAGUUUGUAGUUUUCAAAAUGGCGUACCUGACGCUUUAAUUUUUUAAAUCGUUUUUGGUUUGGUCUCGGUUUGUGAACUAUUUUACGAUUUAGUAUCAAUUUGGAGCAACUUUUUGUUUGUGAGAAUAUUAGACGAUUAGGCAUUAAGAAACUGUUUCGAAUUCUCUUUAGACAUAACUUGGCUCCAAUACUUUUUCUUCGAUAAAGUUUCGUAUGCCUGUGUAUAUUGUUUUCAUUACUUACAGAAAGUUUAUUAUUAAUAGUCAGCAUGCCUCGAAGAUCAAGAAUGAAAUUUUAUUUCGGAUGCCUUGGUAACGACCAAAAUUAUGCAGCUCACAUCGAAAUUGAUCAGCCACAGUUGUUGAGUGGAAUUGUGCUGACUUCAAGUAUGAAUAAUAUGACAAAAAUUGAAAGUGUAUCAUACAGAAACAAAUGUUCGAUAAUGACAAAAUUUUAUGGAAAAAUUAUAAGGAGCACAUAAAAUGUCUGAAACAUGAAAAUUAAGAUUGAUGCACUAUAUUUGAAGCAGAAGGUUAUAAGAAGAACUGAUUCAGCAAGGAAUGUGAACUCACAAGGGAUCUUAAUUUUUUUUUAAAUAUGAUAUAAUUUAUAAAUUAAUAAUUGAAAUAGUUCAUAUGAACUAAAUUGAUACCAAUUUUGUUUUAAAAUAGGUUGCUUAGUUCUUAUAGUUAUAGUAUAUUACAUUUGAAUAGUUGUUGUAAUUAGUAAGUUAGUAAUAUAUGAAAACACUGAUAUAAAUUUUUGUAAAUAACCUUUUGUAAAUUCUACAAGAAGAUGAUUUUAAUUAAUGGUAAUUCAAAAGCAUUAUUGUGGAAUAUCUUAGCUAAGUCGUGUUUUCUGUAUGAGCAGAUAUAAACGAAAAUGCCCAAACAUGAUUACGUUUCUUACAUUUUCAUUAUGUGAAAUCAAUAUGCUUGUGACUGAGUAUAUUAAAAAUUUAUUAAAACUUAAGUGAUAGACAGCGACCCCUAUGGCACCGCUAAAGUUUAUAAGCACUGGUGACCACUUAUCACGAGCCGGGCUGCGUACUCGUCUGCCGUUGAGGGCAAUAAAAAUUUUCGAAACCCUUUCUUAGAUGUAAUAUUAAUGUACAUUUAAUUUGGAUUAAAAGAUAAAUUUACAUUUUAUGUUUGCAUGUGUAUGUUUAUAAUUCAUUUGCAUGUAACGAACAUCAGUUUCUUUUGUAACAAAAUUCAAACUAAUGGUUUGCAAUGAAUGUAAUUAACUUUAAGAUGAUUUUCUUUCAAUCUGCUGUUUGUUUCAUCUAGUAUUACCAAAGCUAAAGCGUCAGAAACGUUAGAAUAGAAAUAAAUUAGAAGGGAAAUAAAACUAUAACUAUUGUAAUCAUGUCUAGGAUUUCUAUAAGCGUCAUUAAGUACAAACUAUCAAUAUUUAAGAGUACUUUAAAUCAUCAUUACAAUUUUUCCACAUUUUUUUUCUUUCAAAUUAUGUAAAAAACGUUUUGUGCAGAACAAAAUGUCACAUAUUAUGAACAAUUGUGGGUUAAUUGUUUCUUAUGUGUAAAUAUUUAUAAGAGUGCUAAGAAUAAUUUAGUAUUCACUUUAGUGUGUGUAUUAUCUCUACAAUGCUAGUUUAAAUGACAAUUAUUGUAUGACGAAGCAUAGGUAGUGUUUAUAGAUGUAAGAUUUUCGUACAAGGUCAUGAUCUGUCAUGAUCAACUUUAAGCAAGAACUGCUAUCAUUGUGAAACAAAUUUAUUAAAUUUAAUUCAAAUUGUCUACUAUGUUUGUAAUGGAAAGCUGACAUGUUUAUAUUUCGCACGAAUGACUUAAUUGAGAUGGAAUGAUUUGAUUAUCUAGACUUAUUUAACUUUUAGAUAACUUUCGAUUUAAUGUUAUUAAGUACUCUAGUAGGAUUAAUCUAGAGGAGUUAUUGUUAUUCGAAAUUUUAUACAAUUGUACGUUCAUACUAUCUUUUAACAGUAAAUUGUUUGUAAUAUAGGGAAAUUAAAUAGCUUACAGAGAAUUACAGCUUUUUAUUUUAAAAAACUGUUUUCUCUCUGUAUGAAAAGGUCUUAUCGAUUAGAAUGCUGAACACAAUCAAACGUUCUUUAAUAUUUCAUAAGAACUAUCGGGAAUUUCAGCGAUUCUAAACGAUAAGAUUUUUUCAUAAAGAGAGUUAAUUAUAAAAAAUAUUAAAAUUACUAAAAAAGCCACCUGGUGGGGGGUAGGGAGACUAAUAAUCGACAGCAGCGACGCCUGCUGUCCUGGGCUCUAACUAAAGCAAAAAUAAAAAUGAGAGUUGCGCAUCUAUCUCAAAUAUAUUAAGUGUAUAAUCUAUGGGUAACUUGGUCUGUCUUCAUAGACAAUAAUGUAUCUAAUAAUAAUUUUAGUGAUUCUAUAAUACAUUAAAUAGUUCAUCAGUACGUACAACUAGAAAACAAAAAAAAAUAAGAACUAGGCGUCCACAAUACGAAUGUCCAGCUUCUCUAAGUGCUCGAUGGAUACUCGGCUAAUUACAAAAUACACAAUUAUAUAUUUUUUUAAAUGAGACUGAUCCCACAAUGAUCAUCAUGAUUUUAUCUCAAGGCAAGUAUGUCAUUCUAUCAACGCUAUUAAAGCAAUGAAAUUUGAUUAAUUUUUAUCUUUUAGUAAUUAUUUUUCGACCCUUCUUACUUACAUUAUUUGAAAAACCACUUUACCUAAUUGUGUUAGCUGGUUAUGUUAUUAUAAUAACGU